UUUACUCAGUACACAAUCCCCUACCCAGCCCUACCGCGCUCCUUCCUCCGAGCAUUGCCUGCGUGCGAGUAUUCUGUCUGCGGACAGUGGAAAUAGGAAAAGCUAGAAAGAAGGAAGAAGAAAGAGAGAUGACGAGCAACGGCAGCAGCUCAUCUCCCAAAUCCAACCCUAAAAAAGCUAAUUUGAUGGAUCCUCAUUCCAUCAAACACCUUCUCGACGAAUCCGUCUCCGAGAUCGUCACCGGCCGAGGAUACACCGAAGACGUGCGUCUGAGCAACAUCAGAUUGCUUGUGGGAACGGUCAUCAUCGCCAUUGCUCUCGUCGCGCAGUUCUACCGUAAGAAGUUCCCGGAAAACAAAGAUUUCCUCAUCGAAUGCAUCGCAUUGUAUAUCGUCUUCAACGGAUUGUUGCAGUUGAUCAUCUACAAAAAGGAGAAGAAUGCGAUCCUUUUCACUUAUCCUCUUCCAGGAUCAUUCAACAGCACUGGACUGAUAGUAUCUUCCAAGCUGCCAAGAUUCUCUGACUCGUAUACACUGUCCGUCACCAGCGCAGAUCCAAAAUCUGUUUCUGCCAACAAACCAGUCCAUUUCACAAAGAGUGUUACCAAGUGGUUUACUCGUGAUGGGAUUCUGGUGGAAGGUCUGUUCUGGAAGGAUGUUAGCAAACUGAUUGAUGAUUAUAGUGGAGAUUCUCGAAAGAAUAAAUGAACUCAAACCGGACGAAUUGAUAUGACACGAAAGGUUUAUGUGACCUUAUGAACAGGUUAGAUGGCAAUUAACCAUCACGGUGGGCCCUGGGAAGCUUUCAACGCUAUUGAGGGGUCAUGCUAAAAUCCAUGUGAUAUGGAGUAGGAAUGCAAAUUGCGGUUGUCCUUUCAAGUAGCUAAAUCCAAGGUUUGGAAUUUAUUUAUUUUUUUCCUUCAGGUUUUAUUAACUUCACCACCCACUAUGGUGAAUGUGUUCAUUGACCCGUCUCCAUUGGAUUUUGUGAACUCCAAACACUGCAAAAGGUAGUCAACAAUGUUGAUUAAUUGGAUGCUGGUGUGGCUAUGGCUAGAACUUUCUGUUUGUAGCACCAAAUUAGACUGAUGAAUCAUGAUAUUUGCUGCAA